AUUGAACGCUGGCGGCAGGCCUUACACAUGCAAGUCGAACGAGUGGCGGACGGGUGAGUAAUGUCUGGGAACCUGCCCGGUGGAGGGGGAUAACUACUGGAAACGGUAGCUAAUACCGCAUACCAUCGGAUGUGCCCAGAUGGGAUUAGCUAGUAGGUGGGGUAAAGGCUCACCUAGGCGACGAUCCCUAGCUGGUCUGAGAGGAUGACCAGCCACACUGGAACUGAGACACGGUCCAGACUCCUACGGGAGGCAGCAGUGGGGAAUAUUGCACAAUGGGCGAAAGCCUGAUGCAGCCAUGCCGCGUGUAUGAAGAAGGCCUUCGGGUUGUAAAGUACUUUCAGCGGGGAGGCGUUACCUGCAGAAUAAGCACCGGCUAACUACGUGCCAGCAGCCGCGGUAAUAC
rnacentral:rRNA from 1 species